AACUGGGCUGUCCCUCCAUCCACCACAGCCCUGCCUCCUCAUCACACCUUGGGAAGAGACACCGAACUUCCCACCCACUUCCUUGUCCCUUCAGGGCGGUGAAACCACAGAAUCACGGAAUAACUGAGGUUACAAGGGACCUCUGGAGAUCACCCAGUCCAAUCCCCCGCCCUGGCAGGGUCACCUGGAGCAGGUGACCCAGGAAUGUGUCCCGGUGGCUUCGGGAUUUCCCCAGACAGAGACUCCACACCCCCAUGGCAGCUGUUCCAGUGCUCAGUCCCCUCCAUGGGCCUCACCACCCUCACAGGGAAUAAUUUCCUCCUAAUAUUCAAUCGAAAUCCCAGAAUAUCCUGAGUUGGAAGGGAUCCACAAAGAUCAUCAGUCGUGCUCCUGGCCCUGCACAGACGCCCCAACAAUCCCACCGUGUGCAUCCCUGGCAGCGCUGUCCAAACCCUCCUGGAGCUCUGGCAGCCUUGGGGCUGUGCCCUGGGCAGUGCCCGACACCCUCUGGGGACAGAACCUUUCCCUGAUCUCCAGCCUGACCCUGGCACAGCUCCGGCGGUUCCCUGGGUCCAGUCCCUGUCACCACAGAGAUCAACGCCUGCCCCUCUGCUUUCCCUCACGACAGAGUUGUAACUUCGCUGAGUUUUCCCUCAAUCUCCUCCAGCUGAACAGACCAAGUGCCCUCAGCUGCUCCUCAAGGCACUUCACUAUCUUCCUGUCCCCUCCUUUGGACAUCUCUCCUCUCCUUCAGUUUGAAUCCGUCCCCCAGUUGUUCUGUCUCUGCAGGCCCUUGUAAAUAAAUAGUGUCUCUUUGUC